GUGGCAAGAGAUGAGCCUGCGUCUGAUUAGGUUAGUUGGUGAGGUAAUGGCUCUACCAAGACUAUGAUCAGUAGGGGACCUUAGAGGGCAACCCUCCACACUGGAACUGAGACAAGGACCAGACUUCUACGGAAGGCAGCAGUGAGGAAUAUUGGUCAAUGGAGGAAACUCUGAACCAGCUAUGCCGCGUGUAGGAUGACAGUCUUUUAGAUUGUAAACUACUUUUACAUAGAAAUAAAAGUUACUACGGGAUGGUAACCUGAAGGUACUAUGAGAAUAAGUGUCGGCUAAUUUCGUGCCAGCAGCCGCGGUAAAACGAAAGACACAAGCGUUAUCCGGAUUUAUUGGGUUUAAAGGGUGUGUAGGUUGUUUAUUAAGUCAGUAGUGAAAGCUUACAGCUUAACUGUAAAAUUGCUAUUGAUACUGAUAAUCUUGAGUCAGAUUGGAGCGUCUGGAAUGUAUGGUGUAGCGGUGAAAUGCAUAGAUAUCAUACAGAACACCAAUAGCGAAGGCAGGAUGCUAAAUCUUCACUGACACUGAGGCACGAAAGCGUGGGUAGCAAACAGGAUUAGAUACCCUGGUAGUCCACGCCCUAAACUAUGAUCACUAGCUAUUGGAAAAAUUAUAUUCAGUGGCCAAGCUAAAGCGAUAAGUGAUCCACCUGGGAAGUACGAUCGCAAGAUUGAAACUCAAAGGAAUUGACGGGGUUUCGCACAAGCGGUGGAGCAUGUGGUUUAAUUCGAUGAUACGCGAGGAACCUUACCAAGGUUUAAAUGUAUUACGAAUAAGCUGGAAACAACUUAGUCUAUAAGACGUAAUACAAGGUGCUGCAUGGUUGUCUUCAGUUCGUGCUGUGAAGUGUUUGGUUAAGUCCUAUAACGAGCGCAACCCUUAUUGUUAGUUGCCAUCGGGUAAAGCCGGGGACUCUAACAAAA
rnacentral:rRNA from 1 species